rnacentral:rRNA from 1 species
UACGGGGGGGGCAAGCGUUGUUCGGAAUUACUGGGCGUAAAGGGCUUGUAGGUGGCCAAUUAAGUCAGACGUGAAAUCCCUCGGCUUAACCGGGGAACUGCGUCUGAUACUGGAUGGCUUGAGUGUGGGAGAGGGAUGCGGAAUUCCAGGUGUAGCGGUGAAAUGCGUAGAUAUCUGGAGGAACACCGGUGGCGAAGGCGGCAUCCUGGACCAACACUGACGCUGAUGAGCGAAAGCCAGGGGAGCAAACGGG